CUAGGGAAAAAGUCAUCAUCUUCAGUUUUGACAGACC
rnacentral:misc_RNA from 1 species